AGCGAACGCUGGCGGCAGGCCUAACACAUGCAAGUCGAACGAACCUUUCGGGGUUAGUGGCGGACGGGUGAGUAACACGUGGGAACGUGCCUUUAGGUUCGGAAUAACUCAGGGAAACUUGUGCUAAUACCGAAUGUGCCCUUCGGGGGAAAGAUUUAUCGCCUUUAGAGCGGCCCGCGUCUGAUUAGCUAGUUGGUUGAGGUAAUGGCUCACCAAGGCGACGAUCAGUAGCUGGUCUGAGAGGAUGAUCAGCCACAUUGGGACUGAGACACGGCCCAAACUCCUACGGGAGGCAGCAGUGGGGAAUCUUGCGCAAUGGGCGAAAGCCUGACGCAGCCAUGCCGCGUGAAUGAUGAAGGUCUUAGGAUUGUAAAAUUCUUUCACCGGGGACGAUAAUGACGGUACACGGAGAAGAAGCCCCGGCUAACUUCGUG
rnacentral:rRNA from 1 species